GGGCUUAUGGGUCAGAGCUGGACACAGAAAAUACAAACUCUGAAGUGAAUUUCACAUCUGUGCACCAGACAUCAGAGAAACAUAAUCAGAAUCUUGGCAUUUGUGAAUUGGAGGGUAUUUGUACCAUACUGCUGCAUUCUGCUUGACGCUAUCAGAGGGAUUGAAAGUACAUGAAAUAACAGCACAUAGGCCAGUCUGUGCUGUUAUUUCUUCUGGACUGAAGAUGAUGCUGUUUGUCUUUGCAGCUGAUGGAGCUGCUGCAGUAGGGGCCUGUCCUGAUGGAGGGAAGUAAAUAAUCAGAGAAGAGUAGAGUUGCCCAGAUGAGGACCCACAUGCUGCCUCCACUGCCUCAAUUAAUCAACCACAACACCAGGGUGUGUCCUCUUUUACCUCUUUCUAUGGUCUCCUUGUC